CUCCCGGCUUCACCGUCCCUCGUAAAUAACGCCAGCACCGUGGCUGCGGCAGUGCCACUUGGGCCCCUGAGGCUGCGGACCUUUGGGAUACAGGCCUUGCUGGCUAGUGGCUCUGAGGCCAUGGGCGACCAAGCUGUGGCCCCGGACAGGGCCUGAGCAAGGCCCCUGUUCCUCUCGAAACCCAGAGGCAGCCCAAGUGGGAAGGGCCCAGGAAGCGGAGGUCCCUCCAAGCACCAAGCUGGGCUCUGACCUUGGCUUGUGCUUGCCAGCUCCUAACCGCUCAUCCACAGAACACGGCAUCGGCCGUUACAUGGAAAGGAGACUCCCCCAGGACUGGGAGGUGAGAGGAGGGUGAGGGGCCGUGAGCAGCCAGGACCGCGGCUGCCCCGGGCCACC